GCUCUUGAUUGUCCAAACGCAAUUCUCGAGUCUUUGGCUCCGGCCGAGAGUUGAGUCUGGACGUCCAGAGCC
rnacentral:pre_miRNA from 1 species